AAAGAUUAAGCCAUGCAUGUCUAAGUAUAAGCAAUUUGUACUGUGAAACUGCGAAUGGCCCAUUAAAUCAGUUAUCGUUUAUUUGAUAGUACCUUACUACAUGGAUACCUGUGGUAAUUCUAGAGCUAAUACAUGCUAAAAACCUCGACUUCGGAAGGGGUGUAUUUAUUAGAUAAAAAACCAACGCCCUUCGGGGCUCCUUGGUGAAUCAUAAUAACUAAGCGAAUCGCAUGGCCUUGCGCCGGCGAUGGUUCAUUCAAAUUUCUGCCCUAUCAACUUUCGAUGGUAAGAUAGUGGCUUACCAUGGUGGCAACGGGUAACGGGGAAU
rnacentral:rRNA from 1 species